rnacentral:rRNA from 1 species
UACGUAGGGCGCAAGCGUUGUCCGGAAUUAUUGGGCGUAAAGAGCUCGUAGGCGGUUUGUCGCGUCUGCUGUGAAAACCUCAGGCUCAACCUGGGGCUUGCAGUGGGUACGGGCAGACUAGAGUGCGGUAGGGGUGACUGGAAUUCCUGGUGUAGCGGUGGAAUGCGCAGAUAUCAGGAGGAACACCGAUGGCGAAGGCAGGUCACUGGGCCGCAACUGACGCUGAGGUGCGAAAGCGUGGGGAGCAAACAGG